CUGACCUGCCAUCAAAUCCUGAGAGAGAUAAAGAAUUCUAAUUUCCUUAUGAGACAAGCUAGCAAAUUGUGGCAUGUCUAACUGAUAUCUCCUGGUAGGUUUGCUGAUUCCUGUCCCCAGUUAUAGUUUGAGUAGUAACUGAUAAUUAAUUGCGCAAUAAUUUCCUUGUAAAAUGCACCACCUUUCUGGAAGUAAAAGCAAAGGUUAAUGGUCAUGAGAAAUACUGUAGAAAUGUUUGCAUUUAACUAGAGGAAAAUUUUGGCUACAGCCACAGCUUUUCAGAUCUGUUAGAAUUUUUGAGUAAUGUCUUUUCACCCACACGUCCUUCCACAGCAUUUUGGCAGAACGAGGGGUGCAGGAUGGAGCUACCUCUCAAGGGAAGCCUGCAGGGACCUGCCUCUUUGUGCUUCCUCUACACUGCCACAUCUCAAGCUUGCCUUCUCAGGGGCACCAUGUGCUUCCCCUCACAGCUGACAAGAGUUGCAGAAGAAAUGCAAAGCAGACCAGCUUACUUUCACCUCUUGAACAAGUGAGAGACAUAGGAAGAAAAAGCUUCCUCAAGAUAAGAGCAGGAGCCUAUGUUGUACGUGCACUCAGUGGAUCAAAACAUGAAGCUUUGCUGACAGCAUUUCCUUCUCCAUCCACAUCGCUGGUAUCAUCUGCCUGAUAUUUCCAAGGUGUGUUCUCACCUCCGACAUUCAGCUUAUCAAGAGGUUAAUACUACCUCGUUAUCACAUCAUUUUUGUUACUGCAAGAGGAUUUACACACAGACUGAAAAACUGCAAAACAGAUAGAGGCGAGGGAGGUACUAUAAAAAAUAAUCCUGCCUCAUUUUUUCUCAUUUGACUCUUCAGUCAUUUUUUCUUAGUUGGUUAGUGUCCAAAGUUACUCUUGAGCUUGGUUUGAGAACUCAGCUUGAACCCUCAGUAUUUUACUUCUUCAAAACUGCUCAUGUUUUGAUGAGCUCUAUUAAUGCCUGGGUGAUUACAGGAGGAACAGUACUCUGCUGGGAGUUUCAGGAGCACUGAGCAGGGGGAUCACCCCUUCCCUCAGUCUGCCAGUGCAGCCCAGCCAGCCUGCAUGCUGUGGGGCACUGCCAGCACCCGCUGCUGCCCUCCCCAGACUUGCUGAGGGUGCACUGUGUCCCACUGCCCAGGGCACUGGGGAGGUGCUUAGUUCCAGGAGCCUCCUUCUCCUCUGAGAAACGUCACACCUGACUUGUUGCCAGCCAGGCUGUGAAUUUUUCCUGAGCAUUCCUUAAAGUUCCUCAGCCUACCCUAUGGGUCACUCAGCCCGUCCUCAUUUUCAAAUUGUUUGCAAGUGUUCUGGAUGUCAAAAGCCUUGAAAAUGUCAAGGUAUACUUUACUAUUGCUAAUCCUGACAUUUGUUCUUUUAUACAUUGUUCUUUUAUACAUUAAAAACACCUAAAUAUAUAAAAACACAAACAAAGCUUAUUUGGGGGAAAAAAAAAGAGUUCAAAAUUAAAGACUGUAUCAAACUUUUAUAGCUUUCUUGCAAGACAUUGUUAAGUACUCACUCAAAAUUCUCAAAGGCUUCAAUUAAAAUUUUGACAUAAUAACACUUCUCCGUGGUGGCUAGUUUUGUAUCUGUAAUACAUAAGUUUAUUAAACAAG
ensembl:lncRNA